rnacentral:rRNA from 1 species
UGAACGCUGGCGGCGUGCCUAAUACAUGCAAGUCGAGCGAACAGACGAGGAGCUUGCUCCUCUGUCGUUAGCGGCGGACGGGUGAGUAACACGUGGAUAACCUACCUAUAAGACUGGGAUAACUUCGGGAAACCGGAGCUAAUACCGGAUAAUAUAUUGAACCGCAUGGUUCAAUAGUGAAAGACGGUUUUGCUGUCACUUAUAGAUGGAUCCGCGCCGCAUUAGCUAGUUGGUAAGGUAACGGCUUACCAAGGCAACGAUGCGUAGCCGACCUGAGAGGGUGAUCGGCCACACUGGAACUGAGACACGGUCCAGACUCCUACGGGAGGCAGCAGUAGGGAAUCUUCCGCAAUGGGCGAAAGCCUGACGGAGCAACGCCGCGUGAGUGAUGAAGGUCUUCGGAUCGUAAAACUCUGUUAUUAGGGAAGAACAAAUGUGUAAGUAACUAUGCACGUCUUGACGGUACCUAAUCAGAAAGCCACGGCUAACUACGUG